AACAUCUACCACUCAGUCAACAACAAUGGCACCAACAUCUACCACUCUGUCAACAUUUUCAUCUCCAGAUGCUCCUCCCCGAAAUAUGACAGCAUCUGCUUAUGCAACUUUAAAAUUGAGAUCCUUUGUUGAGCUGAGCAAUGAUGAGAUCAUUUCAUAUAUUGACAUGUUUGUCAAGCAUUUCCCAGCAAACAUUAGUGGGAACAUCAGGAUUACUGUAAAGAAACAAAGAAAAUUGUUGGCCUAAGGAUCUGACAUGGAAAACUUCUGUCCGUCCACAUGCAAUCCUCUACACACAAUGAAGUUGGCACUUUACAGAUUAAACAGGUUUUGUCAAGUCAGUUGUUUAAAUAC